GACGAACGCUGGCGGCGUGCUUAACACAUGCAAGUCGAACGGAAAGGCCCCUUUGGGGGUACUCGAGUGGCGAACGGGUGAGUAACACGUGAGUAACCUGCCCUUGACUUCGGGAUAACUUCAGGAAACUGGGGCUAAAACCGGAUAGGAAUCCUUGCUGCAUGGUGGGGGUUGGAAAGCUUCGGCGGUUUUGGAUGGACUCGCGGCUUAUCAGCUUGUUGGUGGGGUAGUGGCUUACCAAGGCUUUGACGGGUAGCCGGCCUGAGAGGGCGACCGGCCACAUUGGGACUGAGAUACGGCCCAGACUCCUACGGGAGGCAGCAGUGGGGAAUAUUGCACAAUGGGCGGAAGCCUGAUGCAGCAACGCCGCGUGCGGGAUGACGGCCUUCGGGUUGUAAACCGAUUUCAGCAGGGGCGAAGCUUGUGGUGACGGUACCUGCAGAAGAAGCACCGGCUAACUACGUG
rnacentral:rRNA from 1 species